AGGCAACUGAAGUAUUAUCACUGUUGUACGCAGCCCUCAGGAAGGAAAGAAAAAUGUUGGUGUUGAUAUUGAGGCUCAAGGUGCUGGUGUAACAGACGCAGCAGAGAAGGGAUUAUUUGACCUAUACCUCGCUAAAUACUGGGGUCUCAAGUUUGCCACCGCAGCUGCUUGUACUGUUCUUAAAGUAGACCAGAUUAUCAUGGCAAGGGCAGCAGGUGGUCCUAAAGCACGAGGACCUGGAGCACGGGAUGAAGACGAUUAAUGCUCAUUUCAUAUAGGUA
rnacentral:lncRNA from 1 species